UACGGGGGGGGCGAGCGUUGUUCGGAAUCACUGGGCGUAAAGGGCGCGUAGGCGGCCCGCACAAGUCUGCGGUGAAAACCCCCGGCUUAACCGGGGGCCCGGCCGUGGAAACUGUCGGGCUGGAGGCUGGGAGAGGGCAGCGGAAGUUCCCGGUGUGAGCGGUGAAAUGCGUAGAGAUCGGGAGGAACACCGGCGGCGAAGGCGGCUGCCUGGACCAGUCCUGACGCUGAGGAGCGAAAAGCAUGGGG
rnacentral:rRNA from 1 species